ACAGAAUUUUCAUUUUUGGGUGAACUAACCCUUCAAUAUUGGGUGAAAUAUGACCCAGACCUUUUUUGUGAGACUAAAAUCUACAUGUAAAUAUAAACCCAACUAAACAGUUUUUGGAGAUGCCAAAUGAUUCAGAUUCGGGCACGACUGCACAGUUUCUUAUUGGCACUGAAAAAGCGAUGAUGAAAUGUGACUGUUAGAGAUCAUAAGAAUGGAAACUCUAGUUUUUUUGUGAUUGCUGCUGUUGGCCCUUUGCUUUUGUUUUUUUGGAAAUACAUGGCACAGUUUUGCACAAAUUUGACACUUGUGGUAACCAUUGCUGUAUCCCAUUCUGUUAAACUGCAUACACUAACCUACCAGCUGCACUACAUCUGUUUUUUCUUAAAUUUACUUUUGAAUUACAUAUUCGCAUGUCAUUUCUUUUCCAAAACAAGGCCGAAGUGUUGUCUUUUAACUGAUUAGUGAAAUUCUGUCCUUUCGCUUUGUUUCCAUGGUGACCGGCAUUACCGCCUCCCCCCCGCUGAUUGAUUGACAGUAAAUGAGCCGGUGUGGGCGGGGCCUCUGUGUUCUCAUUAGCAGUUGAUGUUCCUCUGUUAAUCAGUGAAGAAAACAAUGUUAUGUAUUGAUCAAAUUUUUUUUUUUUUAUUUAUACUAGUGCUAGAGUUGUACAAUAUGGAGAAUUUUAUGUAUGAUUAAUGAUUUGAUUGUACAUUAAAAAAAAUAUGUAAAAAUCUAGCACUAUUAUAAAAU